rnacentral:rRNA from 1 species
AGGACGAACGCUGGCGGCGUGCUUAACACAUGCAAGUCGAACGGUAAGGCCCCUUCGGGGGUACACGAGUGGCGAACGGGUGAGUAACACGUGAGCAACCUGCCCUUGACUCUGGAAUAACAGUUGGAAACAGCUGCUAAUACCGGGUAUGACACGUCUCCGCAUGGGGGUGUGUGGAAAGCCCUGGCGGUCAAGGAUGGGCUCGCGGCCUAUCAGCUAGUUGGUGAGGUAAUGGCUCACCAGGCUUCGACGGCA